ensembl:lncRNA
AUAUUUAAAAGGAAGUAAGUCAGCUUACUGUGUGGUUGCAAAACAGGCAAACAGUAGGAGAAUUACAAGCUAAAAUAAAUUGUCCAUGCAAGUGUCCUCCGGUGCUUUAUGCUGAUCAGAAAGGUGAUGAUUCAGACUUCAUUUCAACCAUACCUUGUGGGCACCUCUUGCUCCAGACUGCUGGUAACAAAGUUAAGAAAUAUUACAAAUCAGCACUGAAUUUAUUAUUAUUAUGUGAUGUUCCCAGAAAACCAAGUAUCCUUUUAAACAAAGUGCACUGUUUAAGCUCCGUUUUAGCAUUUAUUUGUUUACACUAGUGUUCAAUUAAUUAAUACUUUUAUUCAGAGAGGAUGCAUUAAAUUGAUGAAAAGUUAAACAGUAAAGACAUUGUUACAAAAGAUGUUUAAUUUAAAUAAACAUAGUUUUUAACCAUCUUUUCAUCAGAGAAGCAGAACAACUGUUUUCAGAGUUGAUAAUAAAAAGAAAUGUUUCUUCAGCACCAAACUGGAAUAUUAGAAUGACUUUUGUAUAAUUUAUUUUUGUAUAAUGUGACACUGUUUUGCCACCACAUCAGAAAAUUUAAUUUUAAAAUAUAUUAAAAUUUAAAACAUUUAUUUUAGUAUUUAUUGUAGUAAUAUUUCACAAUAUUCAUGUAUUUAUGAUCAAAUAUAUGCAUCCAAAUAUUUGAAAGACAGUGUAUGUUUAAUACAGUUUUUUUUUUUUUUGAUUAUAAUAUAAUAGAAUGUAUGCUAUUACAGCAGAAGUCUUCAAGAAACAUUCAAGUAAGUUAAGUACAGGUAAAUUAUCUUGCUAGCCAAACAAAGCACAAAGUGUAACUCUAAGCAAGUACUCUAACUUUUUGUUUUUACUGUGGCUAUUGAUAUAUAUUUAAUGGUAGAUUUAUUUGGUUCUUUGUUUGUUUGCAGCAUCCAUAUUAAAUUAAUAAUUCAGCUGGAUAACAGGAAAGAAAAAGAUGCAAAGCUAACAUUAAAAAGGCUGCUAAGAGUGCAGUGUGGCACAGUCUGGCUGUUGGCUGAAGGGGCUGACAUUGAGAUGGUAGAUAACGCUCAAUGACGGAGAGGCCGUUUGCUGCUGAUCCUGGGGUGAUGAAUCACACGACCGGAAAGAGAUGAGCUCGGAGCGCCGAGGAGAGAAAUGUGAAACAAGAAGAUAGUCAGCGAGAGGCCAAAAUUAAGGCCCUGUCGAGACGGCGACGCAGGGCUGGCAGAGGGGGACAUGGCCGGCCUGAGAGGACCCCGUGUAGAGCCUGCAGGAGGGAGCGAAGUGUGAUAAGGGAAGGUAGGACUUAAUCUUCUAAAGUGCUGAUGGUGCUGGAUGGAGAAGACUACGGCUGGAACUGCCGCUUUCAAAAAAGAACGCCAUUAUUCACCAUCAGAGUGCAGGGCCUGCAAAGAUUGUGCGUCUGUGUGUGCGUCUAAGAGAUAGUGUGUGCGCA